AACAACCCUAGGGCCCUCGGGGGGCCAAAAAAUCACGGAAAAGCGGAGCUUACCGGCGGCGGCGCUCUCGGGUACGGCGACUCUCCGGCGAAGUUCGUGUUUUGGUGAUUUGGCUUCGGUCAACCUGUAGAGAAAAGAAUGGUGAUCACGGUGAUAUAAAAAUUGCAUCGAACGGAGGCCGGGAAGGGCCUCGUCGGAGGCAAAAACCGAGAGGGGACGCGGCGGCGCCGCUGGGCUUCGG
rnacentral:lncRNA from 1 species